GCAUUGGUAGUUCAGUGGUGGAAUUCCUGCCUUCCAUGUGGGAGACCCAGCUUCGAUUCCUGGCCAGUGCC
rnacentral:tRNA from 1 species